GUACAGGCGGAAGCGGACAGCACAGGCAGCCACAUCUCUGGGCUCCAGCUUGGCAAAGGCAACUGAAGGAGCUCCUCACUUGGGUACUGUUAAUACCACUAAUCCAUCUGACCUUCCUGCAAGAUGUCACUGAACGGAAACUCUGGGACCGGGACACGGAAAUCUCAAAUUGUUUGAUCACCUCCUCGUCACUGUCAGAAGAUGUGGACAGCUCUUCGUCAUCCCCAAAGCUGUUGACUGGGAGUAAACAAGAGCCAUGAGUCUCCUGUGUGGCCUAUAUGCUCGAAUACAGAGAUAGACUCUCCAGGAAAACAGAAGAGAA
ensembl:lncRNA novel transcript